rnacentral:tRNA from 1 species
GUUCAUGUAGCUUAAACCCAAAGCAAGGCACUGAAAAUGCCUAGAUAAACUGUACCAGUUUCAUAAACA